UACGGGGGGGGGCAAGCGUUGUUCGGAAUUACUGGGCGUAAAGGGCUCGUAGGCGGCCAACUAAGUCCGACGUGAAAUCCCCAGGCUUAACCUGGGAACUGCGUCGGAUACUGGAUGGCUUGAAUUCGGGAGAGGGAUGCAGAAUUCCAGGUGUAGCGGUGAAAUGCGUAGAUAUCUGGAGGAACACCGGUGGCGAAGGCGGCUUCCUGGACCGACACGACGCUGAGGCGCGAAAGCGUGGGGAGCAAACAGG
rnacentral:rRNA from 1 species